GCAGUCGUGGCCGAGUGGUUAAGGCGAUGGACUUGAAAUCCGUGUAGGUUCGAAUCCUACCGACUGCG